rnacentral:rRNA from 1 species
CCCCUCUCGGGUUACCGAAUUCAGACAAACUCCGAAUGCCAAUUAAUUUAACUUGGGAGUCAGAACAUGGGUGAUAAGGUCCGUGUUCGAAAGGGAAACAGCCCAGACCACCAGCUAAGGUCCCAAAAUAUAUGUUAAGUGGAAAAGGAUGUGGCGUUGCCCAGACAACUAGGAUGUUGGCUUAGAAGCAGCCAUCAUUUAAAGAGUGCGUAAUAGCUCACUAGUCGAGUGACACUGCGCCGAAAAUGUACCGGGGCUAAACAUAUUACCGAAGCUGUGGAUUGUCCUUUGGACAAUGGUAGGAGAGCGUUCUAAGGGCGUUGAAGCAUGAUCGUAAGGACAUGUGGAGCGCUUAGAAGUGAGAAUGCCGGUGUGAGUAGCGAAAGACGGGUGAGAAUCCCGUCCACCGAUUGACUAAGGUUUCCAGAGGAAGGCUCGUCCGCUCUGGGUUAGUCGGGUCCUAAGCUGAGGCCGACAGGCGUAGGCGAUGGAUAACAGGUUGAUAUUCCUGUACCACCUAUAAUCGUUUUAAUCGAUGGGGGGACGCAGUAGGAUAGGCGAAGCGUGCGAUUGGAUUGCACGUCUAAGCAGUAAGGCUGAGUAUUAGGCAAAUCCGGUACUCGUUAAGGCUGAGCUGUGAUGGGGAGAAGACAUUGUGUCUUCGAGUCGUUGAUUUCACACUGCCGAGAAAAGCCUCUAGAUAGAAAAUAGGUGCCCGUACCGCAAACCGACACAGGUAGUCAAGAUGAGAAUUCUAAGGUGAGCGAGCGAACUCUCGUUAAGGAACUCGGCAAAAUGACCCCGUAACUUCGGGAGAAGGGGUGCUCUUUAGGGUUAACGCCCAGAAGAGCCGCAGUGAAUAGGCCCAAGCGACUGUUUAUCAAAAACACAGGUCUCUGCUAAACCGUAAGGUGAUGUAUAGGGGCUGACGCCUGCCCGGUGCUGGAAGGUUAAGAGGAGUGGUUAGCUUCUGCGAAGCUACGAAUCGAAGCCCCAGUAAACGGCGGCCGUAACUAUAACGGUCCUAAGGUAGCGAAAUUCCUUGUCGGGUAAGUUCCGACCCGCACGAAAGGCGUAACGAUUUGGGCACUGUCUCAACGAGAGACUCGGUGAAAUCAUAGUACCUGUGAAGAUGCAGGUUACCCGCGACAGGACGGAAAGACCCCGUGGAGCUUUACUGUAGCCUGAUAUUGAAAUUCGGCACAGCUUGUACAGGAUAGGUAGGAGCCUUUGAAACGUGAGCGCUAGCUUACGUGGAGGCGCUGGUGGGAUACUACCCUAGCUGUGUUGGCUUUCUAACCCGCACCACUUAUCGUGGUGGGAGACAGUGUCAGGCGGGCAGUUUGACUGGGGCGGUCGCCUCCUAAAAGGUAACGGAGGCGCUCAAAGGUUCCCUCAGAAUGGUUGGAAAUCAUUCAUAGAGUGUAAAGGCAUAAGGGAGCUUGACUGCGAGACCUACAAGUCGAGCAGGGUCGAAAGACGGACUUAGUGAUCCGGUGGUUCCGCAUGGAAGGGCCAUCGCUCAACGGAUAAAAGCUACCCCGGGGAUAACAGGCUUAUCUCCCCCAAGAGUUCACAUCGACGGGGAGGUUUGGCACCUCGAUGUCGGCUCAUCGCAUCCUGGGGCUGUAGUCGGUCCCAAGGGUUGGGCUGUUCGCCCAUUAAAGCGGUACGCGAGCUGGGUUCAGAACGUCGUGAGACAGUUCGGUCCCUAUCCGUCGUGGGCGUAGGAAAUUUGAGAGGAGCUGUCCUUAGUACGAGAGGACCGGGAUGGACAUACCUCUGGUGUACCAGUUGUCGUGCCAACGGCAUAGCUGGGUAGCUAUGUGUGGACGGGAUAAGUGCUGAAAGCAUCUAAGCAUGAAGCCCCCCUCAAGAUGAGAUUUCCCAACUUCGGUUAUAAGAUCCCUCAAAGAUGAUGAGGUUAAUAGGUUCGAGGUGGAAGCAUGGUGACAUGUGGAGCUGACGAAUACUAAUCGAUCGAAGACUUAAUCAA